rnacentral:snRNA from 1 species
GUGCUCACUUCGGCAGCACAUAUACUAAAUUAGCAUGGCCCCUGUGCAAGGAUGACACUCUAAUUUGUGAAGCAUUCCAUAUUUUU